GGUGGGUAUCGCGACCAGGAGGGGGAAAGAAAGGGUGAAACCCUACUUGUUCAAUCAAGGUCAAAAUUCAGCAAAUUAAUGGUGGUUCUUGACACAAAUCGAAUGCAUGAGACUGGAUACAACUUAAUCUAAGUAUAUUGAUCAUAAGAAUAGGAAUCACAUUAGCAAGGACUCGAAAACGGAAGGUUAACGGGUCAAGCAGAGGCGAGGAAACAAGCGUGAACACUAACGCUCGAGGUAAGUGACUUUCGAUUCACUUCUUAGUAUACAUAUAGAGUUUUCUUGUUAUGGUUGAAUGGGAUGAUUGAUGUAUAUAAAAUGGCCGACAAGUAGGUAUGUAUGAAUGCAUUUAGGAAAAUUACGUAAGUACAUGCACGUGUGAGCUAAGGUAUGCACGGGUGUAGUUAUGAUUCAUUUUAUGAAUGUAUGUAAGUAUGGAGUUAUGUAUGCAUGUAUGUAUAUAUGUAGGUAUUGGUGUAUGUAUGUACGUAAGUAGUUAUGUAUGAGCAUGAGCAUUAUGUAUUUGAAUAUGAAAGUACAUACGUGUGUAGGUACGAACGUAUAUAUAUAUAUGUGGAUGCAAGUAAGUAUGUAUGUAUGUAUGUGAGUAGGUAUGUGUGUAUGUAGUUAUGUAUGUAUGUAUGUAAAUACAUAUGCGAAGAUGUAAUCAUGUAUGUAUGUAAUUAGAUGCGUGGGUAUGAAAGUAAAGGUAUGUAUGUAUGUAGAUGUGUAUUAUGCGUAUGCGAAGAUACGUAGGUAUAUAUGAAUGUAUGUAGAGAAGUAGUAAUGCAUGCGCGAAUGUAGAUAUGGGGUUGGUAUAGAAGAAGGUACGUAUGAGUAUUUGCAGGUAUGUAGAAAUAUAGGAGGACAUGUACGUAUGUAGACGCAUAUGUAUACAUGUAAACAUGUACAUGUGCAUGAUUUAGAUACGUAGAAUUUUAACGUUACUAAUUAUGCGUUUGAGGUUGGUAUGUGAUGCAGGAACAAGUACACCGGAUUCUUACGAAACUUAAACCGAACCCGGAAUAAGAGGAUGAGAAAGAAUAAUUGGAUGAAUUAAUGUUAAAUUGACGAACGUUAUUCAAUCUUUAAUUACAUGAGAUUAAUGUUAUAUGAUGUGUUACACGGACUUCUUCUGCUGCUAUGGAAGUGAAGCGGACGUAGAUCGAGUCAAGAGCAAGGAUUGUACGGAUAGAUUGGUCACAUAGUUGAAGUAUAUAACGUUUGGAAAUCUAAAUUUUAGUAUGAAUGUUGUAAAAUUCUUUUAUAGUACGUUUAACAUUUUUAGGAUUUGGAUCCUUCGUGAAAGAAAUGUUGUUA
rnacentral:lncRNA from 1 species